GCAGCAUCCUCUCGUCUCGCGCCCUCUACUAGUAGCAGCGCGUUUUCUAGGGUUUCUGAUUUCUGCAAAGGCGGUUAACAGAAAAAAUGGUUCUUCAAAACGAUAUCGAUUUGCUCAAUCCUCCAGCUGAACUGGAGAAGAGGAAGCACAAGCUAAAGCGUCUCGUGCAGUCUCCUAACUCAUUCUUCAUGGAUGUGAAGUGCCAGGGCUGCUUCAAUAUAACUACUGUGUUCAGUCAUUCCCAAACUGUGGUCGUCUGUGGCAAUUGCCAGACCGUCUUGUGCCAGCCAACCGGUGGGCGUGCAAGGCUUACAGAAGGUUGCUCUUUCAGGAGAAAGGGUGAUUGAAGAUGAUAUGCUCGCACUGCCUAUUGGUGGUAAAUGUUUGUUGAGUUCUUUUUAAGGGAUGAUGGUGACAGCAAAUGAGAGCUCUUCUGGGUUUUGAUUCUGAUGUGGAAUUUUUUUAGCACAAAGAUUAUAGACCUCUUAUUUCUAUUUUAGGAUUGUUAUCUGAUUUUGGUUUGUUGCACUGUAAUUUGGUUUCAUUUGACAAACUAAGUUUUUAUUAUUAUCCUUUUGCACUUUUCUAAAUGUUUGUACGUGUAGUUUCUUUGUUGCUGCUAUGUCUUGUUAGGUUAACUCUUAUGUUAUCUUAUUAUGACCAAUGCCAGUUUUGGAAAUUUGAUUGGUGUUCUAAUUUUGCAUAUAGUGAAAAACUGCCUUUUCUUUUUCUGUCUUAUAGUCUUUGUUGCAAGGUCUCGUCA
rnacentral:misc_RNA from 1 species